rnacentral:lncRNA from 1 species
AGGUCCUAAUAGUACUGGUAUAGACUGGGGCCCCCAAGGGUCCUCUGCUUUCCUAUCCUUUAUCCUACUUUUCAUUUCAGAAGCUUCAACAUUGAGCUAGGACCAGGUCUGACAUCUGUGUAAAUUCCCAGACCCAGUGAAGUUUCCAGGAGCCCCAGGCAGGACAACCAUAACAGGACCAUCUCUUCCACUGCUACCUGGCGUGCUUUGUCAUCACUAUAGCGCUGGUCUUCAGGGUUAUACAGUGUUUCCACUUCCACUCUACAGUUUAGCACCCACAACAACCCAUGAAGCCAGGUGCAGGGUUAGGCCGGAGAAGUUGGGGGUACCUUAGGGAAGCAAGGUGCUGCUCAUGGUCUCCACACACAGGAAGAGCGAGUUGCUCCACUGUGGCAUGGAAGUGGACCCUGUCUUAAAAUAAACAAUAAAAAGGUAACCAGUCUGAGCCCCUUCUGUCAGAAUGUACCUCC